GUGAGGAAUUUUCCGCAAUGGGCGAAAGCCUGACGGAGCAAUGCCACGUGAAGGAUGAAGGCCUAUGGGUUGUAAACUUCUUUUCUCAGAAAAGAAUUAUGACGGUAUCUGAGGAAUAAGCAUCGGCUAACUCUGUGCCAGCAGCCGCGGUAAGACAGGGGAUGCAAGCGUUAUCCGGAAUGAUUGGGCGUAAAGCGUCUGUAGGUUGUUUAAAAAGUAUUCUGUCAAAGAUUAGGGCUUAACCCUAGAUAGGCAGAAUAAACUUUUAAGCUAGAGUUUGGUAGAGGCAGAGGGAAUUCCCGGUGGAGCGGUGAAAUGCGUAGAUAUCGGGAGGAACACCAAAGGCGAAGGCACUCUGCUGGGCCAAUACUAACACUGAGAGACGAAAGCGAGGGGAGCAAAUGGGAUUAGAUACCCGGGUAGUCC
rnacentral:rRNA from 1 species